rnacentral:misc_RNA from 1 species
CUAAUUCUCCUGGGCUGGAGACUAUUACAUGACUCAAUGGAUCAGACAUCAUUUCAUAGCCAAUACCAAUCAAGUGAACAACAGCACACCCACCACCCCCCCCCUGGAGACUAUUACAGAAGAGGAGAUUGAGGAAAGGGACAGAGGAGCACUAAGAUUCUGAGUCAUCUUCCCUAUCUUCAAUCUCCUCUUCUGUAAUAGUCUCCAGCCCAGGAGAAUUAGCAGUCUUGUGCAGAGAUAUGAAAAGGGCUGGUGCAACUUCAACCCAACAAUUCAAAUCUUUAAUCUGCUUUGCCAUUUCAGAAACAGAGUCCUUCCCUGCUACACUUUCAAGACCAAGAAGACGAGCAAAGUUCCAAAUGAAGAUGGUAGUUGCUGCUGCUUCAAGAAAGAGAGUUGAUUGGGAGAUUAUGCAGUACACCGUAGGACCUUGGCUAUGGCGGUGGGAGUGGGAAUGGAAGAGAAUUCAGUGGAGCUUCCCUUUUAUAAGGCCUUGAUAG